rnacentral:lncRNA from 1 species
AGGAGUAAUACACAUUGUUAGGUGCGGAAAGCAGAGAAUCCAGAAUUAGAUGCAAACAAUGGAAUAACAGUUGUGCUGAGGGCACAGGACAGCCACAUAUUUCACUACAGAUAAGAGGAGAUAAUAAUGUUUCUCUUCUGAAAUACGGUACAUUUUUUUUUUCUUUCUUCCACAAUUUUAAAAUAACACAAUCUGAUCCUUUAAAUGCUAAUUCAAGGUGCAACAAUUUUCUCUUGGUUUGUAUAUGUAUAUAUAUUUGGCAGUUAGAGUUUAACCUAAAUGAUCCUCUCUUGUUUCAUGUUUUGUGGUCUACUAUCUUUAAUUUCCUCUUUGUAAUCGACAUUGUGUGUGGUUUAUUUUAUCUCAAAACUAAACAUAAUGCCUGUCAUAGCUGCAGAAAUGUUUGUAUGGUUGUUCCUAUUCCUUUGAAAUCUUUCAUUUGCCACCUGCAAAAAACCUUUAGGAAAAUAGAGGCAAAUGCUUCCUUAUUUACUUGGGUUCAACUUGUGAACCACUAAUUUCGACUUAAUAAUAACAUAACCAGUGUAACCCCACUGGGAUGAGGUCGGGAGAGGGUGGUGUGAGAAACUGUUUCCCAUAUACUUUUUAUAAAAAGUCAAGUAUAUAAAGCAAAUACAAUAAUUUCAACACGGAACGUUAAUAUAAGUGGAAGGCUAGUAGAAUUUCAAUGAUUCUGACGGUUCCGUCAGCUCCAGAUACUUAACUCAUAAUUUCAGAAGUGCAAUGAAUUCAAUCUUAUGAACUUAAAUGUUGAACCCAUCAUAUCUAAAUUCUAGAGCCAGCUCUUGAUACAAAUAGAUGAAACAUAGAUAUGCUCUUUAACUUGCCUCAACUCACAUUUAUGUCCUCCAACUUUGGGGGUACACAAAUAGACACUUAAACUUGUAAAAAGUUGAACAAAUAACACAAACGUCUUAUGUGGCAUCUUACAUGCAAUUUGCGUCAUACAUGGUGGUCCUAUGUGGAUAAUGCCACGUAGGACUCAUGUGUCUACUUGUUCAACUUUAUACAAUUAAGUGUCUACUUGUGCAUACCCAAAAUUGGAGAGCAUAAAUGUAAAAUGUGACCAAGUUAAAUGCAUAUUUAAGUACUAUGCCAUACAAAUAUUAUGGCCAAGAGAGACGGUUUUAAUGUCUUCUGGUCAAACUGUAAAGUUAGCUCAUCUCUGUACAAUCUCUUGUAGGGCUCAAUUCAAUCUCUCUUCAGUUUUCAUGAACUGGAGUUCCAGGUUCUGUUGUAGAGAACAACACUUCAGGUGCAGGGGAUGCUCCUAGGCAGUCAGAAAUUCUGAUGUCUAGGCUUUGAAAAGGAAGGUUGGGCAAUACUUCAGGGAAAGUUUCACUUGCUGCGAACAGUGUAGCUGUUUGUCUAACAUUGCCUUCAAAUGGAUUUUCUGACUUAACAUUAGAGUUGUCUUUCUCUUCACCAAAAACUUUUGCUAUUGCAGAAAACUUUUUCCAUAUUGAAUCAUCAGUGACUAAGAUUUCUCUAUUUUGAUAAAGAAAGUUGAGGAAGAAUAGGAGAAGAGCAGAACCUGCUGAUACACCAGCUAUGAGGAAAAGUCCCUUAAAACUGUCUAGCGCGAGGCUAUCAGAUGUUAUAUCCAUUAUAUCUUUCUGUGGACAAUCUGUUUCAUUCCCAAACCAUUUCUGAAUUAUGUUAUUCAUAUCUCCCUCCAUCACCUUCAAGACUGCUCUUGCUACAUCUGGUACCAAAGGUGAUCCUUUUGGAAAUGCCUGUAAGAAGUUGUGUGAUAAUAAAAGAUUAGAUUGAGUGAACUACCGUGGAUAGUAUAAUUUCAAUUAUGGAACAUUUCCAGGCGCAGAGAGAAUCUUACAAAUCCAAAACCAGCAGUCUUGUAAGUCAGACCAACCAUAGUAUACUUCCUGCAGUAUCUAUUGAGGAAGAGUCUGAGAUAAGGUAGUUCAUCAACAAUUGCACCUACACCUCCAUUUUUACUACCCCUUGAGAGUGCAUCAUUAUACUCUUCCAAGGUGCUAUAACUCCUAAAUUUGGAGCUGUCAAAUUGCAUGCCCUUCAAGACAUCUUUGACAAAGGAACCUUUUUGGUACCCUACAUAUUCUCCAUUCUUGAUGAGAUCAUUGAGGUCUGUUACAGUAGGUUGAAGCUUUUGUGCUGUUAACAUAGAUGUUAAGCUGGCUGUAUAACUUGAUGUCAGCACCAGAACCACGAAAACCCACACAAUCAGCACAAAUCUUGUUAAGUUACUUGUUACCCUCUCUCCUGCAAUAACCAGCCAUAUAUGAUUUGUUGAGAAAUUCUAAAGUUCUCGUCUAUAAUUUGCUUUGAGUUAGAGACUUACUAUGAGCAAAAACGAGAGUUGAGAAGGAAAACCAUAAUAUCAUCCCAACUUGCUUGCAUUUGGGUCCUCGAAACUCUUCGUUUACACGAUGCUCCAGUACCCACACAACAAAACCAAUGAAAACAAAGAAUGCUCCAGUUGUCAUCCAAAGCUCUCUCUUUAGAGGUUUCACGAAAAUCCAAGCACUCUUCCUGUCAUCAUCCUUUAUUGGCACAACUGCAGAAAUACCCGACUCUAUAAAAGGUAAUGUGAAAUCCACAUACUUGGAUCGGUUCGCUGAAAUGGUCACAUCACCUAUAACUGCAUCAUGUUUCUGGUUUAAGUAAACAAUGGUUGGUUCAGUGCUUUUGCCAAAGAAAAAGCAAAAUAAGAAAAUCCAAAUGGAGCAUGUGGGUAAGGUAUUCCGCCAAAGAGGGUAAUUCAAACAAGGAUUAGAUAUUACCUUAAAAAAGAGCUUAUAAGCAAGAUCAUCAUAUCCUGGAGAAUUGGGGCUACGUGUUAUUGGAACUGGAACAAAUUCGUAAGGGACAGCAUAAGGCAAAGAUUGGAUGACUUCUUUGAAGACAUCUGCACAGAAACCAGUUGCAGUAACUGCUUGUGUUUUUGAAUCUCUUUCCACUUAAAUGAAUUCCUGCAGCCCUCCUUUGAUAGGAACUCCAACCCUUAGCUUCUUCCCACUUGUGGGUAUUUCCCAGCCUCUCGGAGAAAUAGUAGAUUCACCGGGCCAAAUGAUGGCUCCUAGUUGCUUAUUAUUACUCUUAGCUGUUUUACCGUCUAUCUUCAGUUUAUAUGAAAUUCCAUCCUUCUCUGUCCAGAAUCCAAUGCUUCUCUGUCCUGUCCCAACUAUAUUCACAAUUUGAUAUGGAGAUGGAUGCAAUUCUCCAUUGAUGAGACGGAAUUCACCACUUAGUGCUGUUUUUAGCACUGUGUUUUGCAUAGAGUCAAGGAGCAGAGAUCCCAAUUCUGAGGUUCCAAGUGCAUCUAGGUCCGUUAAGUUCUCUCUAGUGUCCGGUUUCUUGAAUUUUGGGAUAGCAGUGCUGCCCAUUUCCACUACUGCUUUUGCUAACGCGGUGAUGCUAUCAUAUGCCCAUAGCCCAAAAACAUUGAGUUCAACUGGAUCCAUGUCUGGAUACACUUGACGAAAUCUCUUUCUCCAUCUCUUGGUGAACAUGUCAAGCUCAUUUGAUCUUGGAACAUAAGAUUUUACACCCAGAACACCUUGCAUUGAUGACUCAAUUACUGAAGGAUCUACCAGGUCCAGAAGACUUGUUAGCACAUCUGUGAUUAUCCAUGCAUAUCCACUGCUCAUCAUCCCGGCUUCUUUGGCCUUGAGGAAAAGGCGGGAGGCAAGAGAUGAUUCUAAGUGUACGAUGAACACCCUGGUCUGCAUUGUAUUCAACUUGUAUAGCUCCCUGAAGAUCUGAUCAUCACUGGCUGAAGGAGAAAUACCACUUCUAUAGGAGACUAAACUGUUGUUUUCCAGCAAGGCAUCUGUCAAAUGUGGAAGCAUCCCGCUUCCAUAGGGGCUAUCCUCAUAGAUUACUACAACGUCCCUCCAAUUAUAGUUUUUAACAAUUGCCGCUAUGGCUUUAGUCUGGCUGGAAGAAGGAAGUGCUCCUCUGAUGAAGAAGGGAUUUUCCUUGACUGAAAGUGAAGGACUAGUUGCUGGAGAAAUGAUAGGGACUUUUACUCGGUUCCCUAAGUCAAUCACAAAAUCAGUUUGUGUAGACAUUUGUGGCCCAACGAUGGCUUGUACUUGAACAUCCUUUAGCAAGUAUAUGGCUGCACAUACACAAUCAGACUAUAAGGAAUUGUCUGAACAGAAAACCAAAGGGAAAAAAGAAGAAAAGAGAAAAAGAUAUGCUAGCUUAACAGAAGUAAAUCAUGGAGCUGAAUUAAUUUACCUGCAGAUGCUGCUUCAACAUCAUCUUUCUUGGAAUCCCUCAAGUGAGGGACUAUCCUAAUAGCUCUGGGACUAGUGGUGGCAUGGUAAUCUUCAAGAGCUAGUAAGAUAGAUAUGUGCAUUACUUUUGCCACAACUGUUUCCAUAUAAGAACUAUACCCACAUCCACCUUUACAACACUAGUUUCAUCUUCACCUCUUAUUGGAAUUACAUAGUGGCAAAAGCUAAUAAUGGAGACAAGUUGAAUGAAGAGAAUUAGGCAGUAGUAUCUUUGAUUUUGCAUUUGAAAAACUCUGGUAGCAAGUAGUUUGAGAGUUGGGAAAGAAGCAAUUCUGCUUGUGCAAGUAAUUAACCACUUUCUAGAGAUGUGUCUAAAAAUCUCUUAACUGUGUGGCUCUAGAUAUAUGGUUUCAGAAUCUGGGAACUUCAUAUACUUGGACCAGUAAAUACCUUGCAAAACUAUAAUAAGGCAAUGUAGAAUGAAAAGUCAAAGAUAAAGUUUCCAAAGAAUAAUUGAGAGAGGACUUUUCAUACAUUCUUAACUAGUAAGUUCCCUCCUCAAUUUGACCCAAUAAAAAUCUGACAAAACGAACGCAGUGACAAAAACUCAUUUGGUUGACCUUGGAAUGGUGCUUAUUUUACAUGGUUCCUGUUUAUACUUGGUCAUUAGUAACUUGCUUGGACACCAAAUAAUGAAACAAUACCCACCAUUGGAUCGAGUGGCCGAUCUAGGAUUUUCAUUCAUGGGGAUUUGUAAAUAAAAAUGUAAAAAGUAUUAACUUCCUUGGACACUCAAUAAUGAAACAACCACCACCAUUGGCUCUAGUGGCAUGCUGAUUCAGGAUUUUCACUCUGAGAGUUCCGAAAAAUAAAAAUGUAAAAGAUAAUGCAGUCCUUGAGAAUUGAACCUUGGACAUUGGGGUGUAUUUUGAAUUUCCUGAAUUGCAGAGCUAACCUUUUGCAUGUUAUUUAGGGGAUUCACAAUUUAUAUGUACAUCAACAUAGAAAAUAUAUCCUAUAUAUACAUUUUAAUUUUUUGUUGAAGGGGUUUGGGUGAACACUCUCCGGCUCUUGAUUGGCUCAUUGACACUGUUAUUGUUAGUGCAAGAAGAAACUGCUAGGGAAGUUGCCUAUGAUAUAUGUUGAAGCAGAUGGGAUAUAAGAUUCUGAUUUGAUGGGUUCAAUAUUUAGGUUCUUACCAUUGAGCCCAUUACACUUUGAAAUUAUGGGUUCAUGUUCUAUUAUUUAUUAAAAUUUUAGUGAUUUUUCACAUUAUACUUUUAUGAUCCGUGUCGAAAAUGCAAAUCUUAUACUUAAAUUCGCCAUCCGCCCUGUGUGACUGAACAUAUUACUGUUUGUCUUCCAUGUAGCAGUGAUCCUAAAACCUUUCCUUAUUUAUGAUCUGUAACUAUGUUCUUAUCCUCUAGGCUAGUUCUAGCACCUGCAUUAUAAAUUCACUACUACUAGAUCUUUCUUUCUUAUUUAAUUUGGGCUUUGCAGAUUGCUUUUUCUUAUCAAAAAAUUGCACAAAUCUCUCAUGUGGUUAUUCACAUAUAACCCCCAUUAUUUCAUAUUUUAUAUAAGAAUUAUGUAAUCAAAAAAUAAUUUGGCAUCUUAUGUGUUGAUUUUAUUGUUUUUGUUCUAUUAUUGUAACAUAACAAAACUACCUCAAUUGAAUUUCUUGAAAACGGAUGCAUGUAUUGAAUUCUUUCAUGCCACACAUAUAACUUCGUUUAAUUAUAUUCCAAACAUAAGUACAACAACAACAACAUAAGUAGUGAUGAAAAAAACAAAGUGAACAUAAAAUUGCUAGAAAAACAACUAAGAAAAAGUAAGGGUUGAAUCCAUCUAAUGGAAUCCUGGAGGCCACCUCUUGAUGCUAAUAUUAUGGCCAAGAGUGACAAAGAAAUAAUGUAAUCUGAUUUAACUAACCCUAAAGCUAGCUCAUCUCUGUACAAUCUCUUGUAGGGCCCUAUUCAGGUGUGUCACAAUUAUGUUAGCAGCUAUCUGUGUCAUCUUUCUUCAAUCGUGCCUGACAUUGUUUCAUGAACUGGGGUUCCAGUUUCUGUUGUAGAGAACCCUUCAGAAGCAGGGGAUUCUCCUAGGCCAUCGGAGAUUCCGAUUUCUGGGCUUUGCAAAGGAAGGUUGGGCGAUAAUUCAAUAGAAGCAUCACUUUCUGCAAACACUGUAGCCGUUAGGCUUUCAUUCCCUUCAGAUGGCUUUUUUGACAUAGAAUUAGAGUCGUCUCUCUUUAAAUCAAAGACUUUUUGCUAUUGCACAAAGCUUUUUUCCUAUUGAAUCAUCAGUGGCUAAGAUUUCUCUAUUCUGAUAAAGGAAGAUGACGAAGAAUACGAGAAGAGCGGAGCCUGCUGAUACACCAGCUAUGAGGAAAAGGCCCUUAAAACUAUCAAGCGUGAGGCUAGAUGCUGUAGCCAUUCCAUCUGGCUUUGGACAAUCUGUUUCGUUCCCAAACCAUUUCUGAAUUAUGUUAUUCAUAGUCUCUCCCUCUAUCACCUUCAAGACUGCUCUUGAGACGUCAGGUACCAAAGGAGAUCCUUUUGGAAAUGCCUGCAACAAGUUGUGGGAAAAUUAAAGAUUAGAUCAUUGAGUAAACCACUAACCACUCUAAAUAAAUGUCAACACUUUCUGAAACAUCAGUUAAGUACAACAAUCUUACAAAUCCAAAGCCGGCAGCCUUGUAUGUCGGACCAACCAUAAUAUACUUCCUGCAGUAUUUGUUCAGCAAGAGUCUGAGAUAAGGUAGUUCAUCAACAAUUGCACCAACACCUCCAUUUUUACUACCUCUUGAGAGUGCAUCAUUAUACUCUUCCAAUGUGCUAUAACUCCUAAAUUUGGAGCUGUCAAAUUUCAUGCGUGUCAAGACAUCUUUGACAAAGGAACCUUUUUGGUACCCUACAUAUUCUCCAUUCUUGAUGAGAUCAUUGAGGUCUGUUAUAGUAGGUUGAAGCUGUUGCACUGUUAACAUAGAUGUUAAGCUGGCUGUAUAGCUUGAUGUCAGCACCAGAACCACGAAAACCCACACAAUCAGCACAAAUCUUGAUAAGUUACUUGUUAUCUUCUCUUCUG